CAUUAUCAUCAUACUUCAAGCCCACAACAGGACAUAACAACCACAUUUCUGUGACCUCUCACACUACACCUCCUUCCACUUCAAUUAC
rnacentral:lncRNA from 8 species